GACGAACGCUGGCGGCGUGCCUAAUACAUGCAAGUCGAACGCAGUGGGGACGGGUGAGUAACACGUGGGUAACCUCCCAUCAGAGGGGAUAACACUUGGAAACAGGUGCUAAACCGAUACUGAUGGAUGGACCCGCGGUGCAUUAGCUAGUUGGUGAGGUAACGGCUCACCAAGGCCACGAUGCAUAGCCGACCUGAGAGGGGGGUCGGCCAACCUGGGACUGGGGAACGGCCCCAAAUCCUUCGGGAGGCAGCAGUAGGGAAUUUUUGGGAAUUGGCCAAAGGCUGAACCGGCAACGCCCGGUGAGUGAAGAAGGUUUUCGGGUCGGAAAACUCUGGUGUUAGAGAAGCGGUAUCUAACCAGAAAGCCACGGCUAACUACGUGCCAGCAGCCGCGGUAAUAC
rnacentral:rRNA from 1 species